UUAACAAGCAUUGAUUGAGGACAACCAUUCGCUGCCGGCGGAGCGGAAGAAGGUAUGGAUGUUCUCGCUGACCUUGAGCACGAUGUUACUGCGAUGUCCAGUUCCUCCAGUAUGGAUACUCUCAGCUAUGCCAUGACCCUCUUCUCUGGAAUCUCAUGUACCUUCUGCUGAAGUCUUGCUCCUCCACGGCCCAUCGGACGCCGACGACGUCAACUUGCCUCCACCACCAGGUCUCCACUGCUUCUCAUCCUUUUUGCUUGAUUUCACUGAUCCCUCACAUUUGCAUAUUUUUUGCAUAAUUCUGAUGACUGCUUGCUGUUUACUUUAGCUACAAACAAUUUGGAAAAGCAUCAUUAUGCAGCACCAGUAGCACAGCUCAAAUUGUUCAGUUCUUCUCAACAGCAGCCAUCAAUGGUAUUCAGAAAAUGUACUACGUAACGCUGAGGUGGACAUAGUGAUGUUACCGAUGACCGGGCAUGUCCUCUUGCCCUGUACGAUAUCCAACUAUGCCACUGGUCCGGGGAGUGGUGGGUAUGGUUGUAUGGCUUAAUGUUUUUCUCUCAGGAUAAACCGGUCUACUUUUCAAUCAAGGAUAGCAGGGUUGCAUAGGUAAUAGUUGCUGCUUCAAUUGGUUCUGCUUUUGGUACUCCCUUGCACCGAGAGCGGCACUCGGUUCUCCAUGCGUAGCAGACUGAUAAUUUUUCUCCCGAUCGUGAUGCAGCCUUCAUCUUCAAGCCAUGAAUUUUGUUUUUGUUUAGCUAAUUAUCCCUAGGAGAUGUAGGUACAGGGCUAUCCUUUGUCAGUACAGACCAAAACUUUACCUGCAGCAACAAAUCAAGUUUGGCCCAUAAAGAAGAGCAGGUCUAUGGUCAAUAGACCGUUUGUUGCUUAAUUAAGGAGCUAGCUCCAUAUGUUUGCAGAUAACAGCUGCCAAGAUUCAAUGCUUAAGGAACUAACAUCAAAUGUCUACAGAAAGCAGCUACAACUAUCUGAUGUCUAAGUUAGCGUUGACAGUUGAUGCAUCUGUGAAUUUGCCUUGGUUAGUUCAUAGUAUGCUACUGCUACACUAUGUAUCCUUUUUAUUAUCAGCUGUGCAGCUUUGUGUUUCUUCUACUUUUGUGGUUACUAUAUGCAGUACCAAGAUAUGACUAUCUACUCUAUGCAAGGAGUCGAUAUACCUUCUGUAUGAUCAA